ACUUUCUUGGCCUACCCUUAACCCGAUCCCUCGGCAAAAAGAGCCUAUUACUAAUUACUGGCUUACUAUCCCUAGCCUCCCCUAGCAAUUAAUAGUGCAUUAUAGAGCAGAAGUGAAAAACAAUUGAUCGUCCUACCCCUAUCCCUAGGUGGUAUUGCUUAAUCAAGGAAUUACUCACCAGUUCAUGACAUUACUGUACGUCCCCGUAUCAAUAAAGACAAACAACAGUUAUCGAAUGAGCUAAACG
rnacentral:lncRNA from 1 species